rnacentral:rRNA from 1 species
UCGUUUAAUUGACCUCGGAUCAGGUAGGAUACC